GAAUGAAGGAAGCAUGGUAAUGUGCACAAAAAAUGAUUUGAGUCUCUAGGCCUGUCCUCUCUGAUGCCUUUUGGCUUCGAUUUGGGGCAUGGUUCCGCAGCAAAACG